rnacentral:rRNA from 1 species
CAGGGAUUGCCUCAGUAACGGCGAGUGAAGCGGCAAUAGCUCAAAUUUGAAAGCUGGCGCAAGCCCGCGUUGUAAUUUGUAGAGGAUGCUUCGGGUGUGGCUCUAGUCUAGGUUCCUUGGAACAGGACGUCAUAGAGGGUGAGAAUCCCGUAUAUGGCUGGUGGCCUACGCCUAUGUGAAGCUCCUUCGACGAGUCGAGUUGUUUGGGAAUGCAGCUCAAAAUGGGUGGUGUACUCCAUCUAAAGCUAAAUAUUGGCCAAAGACCGAUAGCGCACAAGUAGAGUGAUCGAAAGAUGAAAAGCACUUUGGAAAGAGAGUUAAACAGUACGUGAAAUUGUUGAAAGGGAAGCGCUUGCAAUCAGACUUGCGCGGCGUUGAUCAGCUUAGGUUCUCCUUUGCGCACUCGGCGCCGUUCAGGCCAGCAUCAGUUCUGGCGGUUGGAUAAAGGCCCAGGGAACGUGAGUGGCUUCGGCCACUGUUAUAGCCCUGGGUGCAAUGCAGCCUGCUGGGACUGAGGACCGCGCUUCGGCUAGGAUGCUGGCGUAAUGGUUGUAAGCGACCCGUCUUGAAACACGGACCAAGGAGUUGAUGUAUAAUGCGAGUGUUUGGGUGUUAAACCCAUACGCGUAAUGAAAGUGAACGGAGGUGAGAGUCCUUAAGGAUGCAUCAUCGACCGAUCCUGAUGUCUUCGGAUGGAUUUGAGUAAGAGCAUUAUGCAUCUGACCCGAAAGAUGGUGAACUAUGCCUGAAUAGGGUGAAGCCAGAGGAAACUCUGGUGGAGGCUCGCAGAGGUUCUGACGUGCAAAUCGAUCUUCAAAUUUGGGUAUAGGGGCGAAAGACUAAUCGAACCAUUGAACACCUACUAGGUGGUUGAGAGGCCUGGUUUCCAGGCCUAGUCGCAGCAGCGGCUACACUGCAAAACUGCGGGGACAGCUCGAUAGGCGCAGGUUACUCCAGCAGGCUCGAAAGGGCCUGCCACAGUCACAAAGCCGCGCGCCUGAGCCGAUCCGCAACCAACGCCUACAGCGCACGCGGUCCCUACCCGGGGGUCGCAACCAGCCAGCCUACCCGGCGGUUGGGCGCCAUGGUGCGGGCUCAUCGACUAGAUGGCAGUGGGUUCUACAUAGAGCYUAAGGGAUAGUCAGACUCCAGCGCGCGCAACGCUGGAGGUGAAUCGCUAGUAGCUGGUUCACGCCGAAGUUUCCCUCAGGAUAGCAGUGUUGUAUUCAGUUUUAUGAGGUAAAGCGAAUGAUUAGAGGCCUUGGGGUUGAAACAACCUUAACCUAUUCUCAAACUUUAAAUAUGUAAGAAGU